rnacentral:rRNA from 1 species
UACAGAGGAUGCAAGCGUUAUCCGGAAUUAUUGGGCGUAAAGGAUGCGUAGAUGGUGUAGUAAGUUAUCGGUGGCAAAUCGAGGCUCAACCUCGUGGAAGUCGGUAAUACUGCUAUGCUAGAGGAUAGGAGAGGUUAACGGAACUCCCUGUGGAGCGGUGAAAUGCGUAGAUAUCGUAAGGAAGACCAGUGGCGAAGGCGAAUCUCUGGACAGUUACUGACACUGAGGCACGAAGGCCAGGGGAGCAAACGGG